UGUAAUUAUGAAAUUAAACAAACUUUGUAAAAUACAAAUAUUAAAAAUUACAGAUAAAAUAUUUUCGAUAAUUAAAUAUUUAAAAUAUACUUUUUAAUAAUAAAACUUUUUAAAAGUUUUAUUGUAUUACAUUUUUUUUCCCUUUGAUUUAAUUGCUUUUUGUUAUGUAGUUUAUUUCUUUAAUCUUCUUUUUCCGUCAAGAUUUUAACCCCAACCUUAAAAAUGAAAUAAACCCUUAAAUCACAAUGAAAAUUUUUCUGUUGUCACAAUCAUGAGUUAGUCAAUUAUUCAGUUUAUCAAUUCAACUUUAUUUGUUUAGCACCUUUUACACAGAUGACAAAACUAAACAAGCAAAGAGAAUAAAACUAUGCUAAAACUACGAUUAAAACUCAAAAACAUUUAAAAAAAGAUUUAACAUGGUAAUAAAAUAUGUUGUGUCCAGGGGAUGGAGGGAGUUUAUUGAAGUCUUCUUGGGCUCACAUGGGAAAUCAUUUAAAAUAUAAACUUGAUAUUCAGUCUAAGGAAACUGCAGAGCGACAGAAGAACCAACAAUAUCUCCUGUUUUCUCCUUUAAUGAGUCGACUCUUCUUGUGCUUUCAGACCAAAGAACUGCAGACUCUUCACAACCUGCUCAAACUCUUGGUACAGGACCUCACCACAUGGGUCAAGAAGGUUGCUUUGUAGAACUGUUGCAGAAAACCUCACUAAACCACAUGGAGGGGCCUCAAGAUAGUCGUCCAAAUGAAACCAUACAAAAACCAAACUAGCACAACCCAAACACUAAAGUCUCCUGCAGCCUACCAGAGAACCUCUGAGAACAGAGAAUCAGGACAGGAACUCUUACCUUCUGGACAACCAACGUUGCUUCACAAGAAUACAGAAUGUGUCUGACCAAAAACCUCUGAAGACUCACUACAGCCAAGAUAAAGACACAACUCAGCUGUACCAAAUCCACUAAUCACUGCACACAUUAGCACCAUGUGCUAACUGUGGCGAAAGAACACAUUUACCAAGACAACUAUCCAGUACAAAGCCCUAAAACACACCAAGAGACACAUUAAAGACGAUAUUACUGCUGGAAGCUGCAAGCCAAAGCCUAAAGAACAAACUAAAGCAACAGCGCCAAACCCGGUUCUGUGGUGAAGACAAGCAGAGGAAAUGUUUGCCUGCAGCUAAAUAAAGCAGGAAGACACUGAGCUGCUCAGGUGUUCCUGAUAACACCAAGCAGCCACCUGGACAGCCAAUAGGAACACAGCUUACUGGAAGUCCAGAGGGCUGGGUUAGUGAAGGAAAUUUAGUUUAAAGUUGAAGCAGAAAGUUAACAAAGAAAGUUGAAAACCACCUUCUGAUACCUGAAAUCUCUGAGUUUUCACACAAGUAACACCUGAACAUGUCAAACCGGUUUCAUAGUAGAACCAUCAUUGUAAAAACGUCAUAGUAUGGUGUGUUGCUCAAAAAACAUUUGGACCCGGCUGUCUAGGGUCACCGAGGAGCAACACAAAAACAGGACAAACGCUGGUUUCCAGGGGGUUAGGCUGCUAUUUAUUUGAAAGAGUAAGUUUACAACAACGUAACAUGUGAGCAGAAAAAUCACAAAGUCUGUCUUUAGUUCAGCUGAAAAUAUUAGUUUUUGUCUUUUUUAUUGACAAAACUUUUCAGGAAGUAGAUGAAGAAUAAUUAAAGCUCUCAUGUAGAAGUCCAACUUAUUUUGGAUCCUUGUGGAGAGUUUAAUCUUAGAGUUUGUAAAGCUGUUGAGUUUUAAGAGUGACAUGGAUUGUUUUGACAUUUAAUAACUGAGUCCUGAAAUAAAAUUACAGUUGUGGA